AGUGUUCCAAGGGCAGAGACACAGUAUUCCACACCCUAACAUGGAGUGGACACAUAGAAAAUUUGGGCCUAACACCCCAUUUCACAGAAGAGAAAGCCAAGGCUACAGUAGCCCGAAGUCUAAGGGCCAGGCGAGGCUGACUAGGCCUGUCUGUGCCAUGCUGAGGUUGGCUGCAGGGAGAGCCUGUUUGGUUGGCUGUGCCUCCCAGCUCAGCUGUUUUCUCCUGUUCCUGCAGGUCUGCUGGGAAUCAGCCCAGGUGGGGGCGGCAGACCUACUUCUCCCUGUAGUUGGUGAGUGGCAGGAGCAGCAGGAGCUAGGACCAAGGACAAGUGGGAGCUGGGAGCCCCAGAAUCGUGUCACCACAUUUGUUCCCUGACUUCCACUGGAUGGUUAGGAUGGAACCACCCCCCUUGCAGUCACCAAAGUGGGAGUCCAGGAGAGCGCCCACUGUGAGAAGAAUGGCUGGGGCGUGACACCCCCUGAAGGACAGGAGUGAGGAACAGCAGAACUCCGGGGAGUCUGAGGAGGAGAGUCCGAAGGCAGUGGUUGGUCCGCAAGAGGUGAGAGAGAGGUCGAGGAGGAGCCCUGGUCAGGCAUGAGGUGCCAGUGCUGGCCAGGAAU
rnacentral:lncRNA from 1 species